rfam:Myotis brandtii contig184636, whole genome shotgun sequence.
CUUGGCGGGGGGUCCUUCAGCCCAGAUUGCAAGAGGGUGCAGGCCAGGCCGAGGGACCCCACCCGUGCACG